rnacentral:rRNA from 1 species
GGAUCCAGACUUUGAUCAUGGUCAGGAUGAACGCUAGCUACAGGCUUAACACAUGCAAGUCGAGGGGAAACGACAUUGAAAGCUUGCUUUUGAUGGGCGUCGACCGGCGCACGGGUGAGUAACGCGUAUCCAGCCUGCCCACCACUUGGGGAUAACCUUGCGAAAGUAAGACUAAUACCCAAUGACGUCUCUAGAAGGCAUCUGAAAGGGAUUAAAGAUUUAUCGGUGAUGGAUGGGGAUGCGUCUGAUUAGCUUGUUGGCGGGGUAACGGCCCACCAAGGCUACGAUCAGUAGGGGUUCUGAGAGGAAGGUCCCCCACAUUGGAACUGAGACACG